rnacentral:pre_miRNA from 1 species
UAUGUACUCCCUCCGUCCGAAAAAGCUUGUCUCUCAAAUGGAUGUAUCUAGCACUAACUUGGUGCUAGAUACAUCCAUUUGAGGGACAAGCUUUUCCGGACGGAGGGAGUAUGUA